rnacentral:rRNA from 1 species
AGUGAACGCUGGCGGUAGGCCUAACACAUGCAAGUCGAACGGCAGCACAGUAAGAGCUUGCUCUUACGGGUGGCGAGUGGCGGACGAGUGAGGAAUACAUCGGAAUCUACUUUUUCGUGGGGGAUAACGUAGGGAAACUUACGCUAAUACCGCAUACGACCUACGGGUGAAAGCAGGGGAUCUUCGGACCUUGCGCGAUUGAAUGCGCCGAUGUCGGAUUAGCUAGUUGGCGGGGGAAAGGCCCACCAAGGCGACGAUCCGUAGCUGGGCUGAGAGGAUGAUCAGCCACACUGGAACUGAGACACGGUCCAGACUCCUACGGGAGGCAGCAGUGGGGAAUAUUGGACAAUGGGGGCAAGCCUGAUCCAGCCAUACCGCGUGGGUGAAGAAGGCCUUCGGGUUGUAAAGCCCUUUUGUUGGGGAAGAAAAGCAGCAGGUUAAUACCCCGCUGUUCUGACGGUACCCAAAGAAUAGGCACCGGCUAACUUCGUG